rnacentral:rRNA from 1 species
CCUACGGGAGGCAGCAGUGAGGAAUAUUGGUCAAUGGACGGAAGUCUGAACCAGCCAUGCCGCGUGCAGGAAGACGGCUCUAUGAGUUGUAAACUGCUUUUGUACAAGGGUAAACCUGAAUACGUGUAUUUAGCUGAAAGUACUGUACGAAUAAGGAUCGGCUAACUCCGUGCCAGCAGCCGCGGUAAUACGGAGGAUCCAAGCGUUAUCCGGAUUUAUUGGGUUUAAAGGGUGCGUAGUCGGAUUGAUAAGUUAGAGGUGAAAUGUCCGAGCUUAACUCGGGAACGGCCUCUAAUACUGUUGAACUAGAGAGUAGAUGAGGUAGGCGGAAUGUAUGGUGUAGCGGUGAAAUGCUUAGAGAUCAUACAGAACACCGAUUGCGAAGGCAGCUUACCAAUCUAUAUCUGACGUUGAGGCACGAAAGCGUGGGGAGCAAACAGGAUUAGAUACCCGUGUAGUC